GGGGGUUUUCAGUAAACAAAGAG
rnacentral:siRNA from 1 species